AAUGAACGCUGGCGGGAGGCCUAACACAUGCAAGCCGAGCGGUAUUGUUUCUUCGGAAAUGAGAGAGCGGCGUACGGGUGCGGAACACGUGUGCAACCUGCCUUUAUCUGGGGGAUAGCCUUUCGAAAGGAAGAUUAAUACUCCAUAACAUAUUGAACGGCAUCGUUUAAUAUUGAAAGCUCCGGCGGAUAGAGAUGGGCACGCGCAAGAUUAGCUAGUUGGUGAGGUAACGGCUCACCAAGGCGAUGAUCUUUAGGGGGCCUGAGAGGGUGAUCCCCCAAACUGGUACUGAGACACGGACCAGACUCCUACGGGAGGCAGCAGUGAGGAAUAUUGGUCAAUGGGUGCAAGCCUGAACCAGCCAUCCCGCGUGAAGGACGACUGCCCUAUGGGUUGUAAACUUCUUUUGUAUAGGGAUAAACCUACCCUCGUGAGGGUAGCUGAAGGUACUAUACGAAUAAGCACCGGCUAACUCCGUGCCAGCCGCCGCAGUAAGAC
rnacentral:rRNA from 1 species